rnacentral:rRNA from 1 species
GACAUAGGUCGCAAACGUUAUCCGGAAUUAUUGGGCGUAAAGGAUGCGUAGAUGGUUCAGUAAGUUACUGGUGGGAAAUCGAGGCUCAACCUCGUGGAAGUCAGUAAUACUGCUGAACUUGAGUGCAGGAGAGGUUAACGGAACUUUAUGUGGAGCGGUAAAAAUGCGUAGAUAUAUGAAAGAACAUCAAUAUGGCGAAGGCAGUUAACUAUUCUGUUACUGACAUUGAGGCAUGAAAGCGUGGGGAGCAAAACGG